rnacentral:rRNA from 1 species
CUGGCUCAGGACGAACGCUGGCGGCGUGCUUAACACAUGCAAGUCGAGCGGUAAGGCCCUUCGGGGUACACGAGCGGCGAACGGGUGAGUAACACGUGGGUAACCUGCCCUGUACUCUGGGAUAAGCCUUGGAAACGAGGUCUAAUACCGGAUAUGACACU